CGCCUUUGCUCUUAUACCAACUAUAUCAACAAUUGUGGAAGUACGCCUACGAAUUACGAGUUUUGAUUGCAGUGAUUAUUCCUUUUCAACGUUCUAACUUCUUAAGAAUGCGGUGGAAAAUAGUUCUAUUGAAGCAUAGACUCGAGUAUGUCUACCAAAUGCCAGGAGAAUGCGUAAUGUGGAAAAUGAUCGGACAAGGCACAGUUUAAGUGCUCUGAUCCCUUGUUCACCGGGACCAUUUCCGGAAUGCUCAUACUUUCUUAUCAACGAGUCGCAUAUUCCGUCGGAAGUGCAAUACCCGGAAUCCGUUAGCGCUUGCUUUGGCUCGUUGUAUGUUUCCCGAAUGGUCUGUGUCAAGCAAAAGCAAUUCUGUCUAUCGAAGACGUACUUCCAGGACACUCCGAAAUCUUGAAAGCUAACACUGUUACACAGUAGAACAUCCCAAUCAUCAGCCGGACCGUAUCCAGAUUGGAUGCACUUUUCGUUCCGUUGGACAAUGUUUGUUGCAGCUCAUCGACCGAAAUGUAGGCGCUCCGAUUGCGGUCAGAAAACAACUAUGAUCAAACAGUUUUUAAUAAGGUGUACCUUUCGUUGUAUAAUUUGAUACUCAGUUUGUACUUCAAAUGUGUAACUAUAUAUUAAAUGCUGCAGUGGCGAUGAAAAAUAUGAACAAA